GAUGAACGCUAGCGGCAGGCCUAAUACAUGCAAGUCGAACGAGAUUAAGAGGCUUGCUUCUUAUGAAAGUGGCGCACGGGUGCGUAACGCGUAUGCAACCUACCUUAAUCAGGGGGAUAGCCCGAAGAAAUUCGGAUUAAGACCGCAUAAAAACACAGGAUAGCAUUAUCCAAUGUUCAAAUAUUUAUAGGAUUAAGAUGGGUAUGCGUGUCAUUAGCUAGUUGGCGGGGUAACGGCCCACCAAGGCGACGAUGACUAGGGGAUCUGAGAGGAUGACCCCCCACACUGGUACUGAGACACGGACCAGACUCCUACGGGAGCAGCAGUAAGGAUAUUGGUCAAUGGAGGGAACUCUGAACCAGCCAUGCCGCGUGCAGGAGACAGCCCUCUGGGUCGUAAACUGCUUUUGUCAGGGAGAAUCCUUUGGGCUAAUAACUCGGAGGGAUGACGGUACCUGAAGAUAAGCACCGGCUAACUACGUGCCAGCAGCCGCCG
rnacentral:rRNA from 1 species